rnacentral:rRNA from 1 species
UACGUAGGCAGCGAGCGUUGUUCGGAGUUACUGGGCGUAAAGGGUGUGUAGGCGGUUGUUUAAGUUUGGUGUGAAAUCUCCCCGGCUCAACUGGGAGGGUGCGCCCGAAUACUGAAUGACUAGAGUGCGGGAGAGGAAAGCGGAAUUCCUGGUGUAGCGGUGAAAUGCCGUAGAUAUCAGGGAGGAACACCCUGUGGUGUAGACGGCUUUCUGGACCAUAGCUGACGCUGAGACACGAAAGCGUGGGUAGCAAACAGG